rnacentral:rRNA from 1 species
GACGAACGCUGGCGGCGUGCUUAACACAUGCAAGUCGAACGGAAAGGCCCUGCUUUUGUGGGGUGCUCGAGUGGCGAACGGGUGAGUAACACGUGAGUAACCUGCCCUUGACUUUGGGAUAACUUCAGGAAACUGGGGCUAAUACCGGAUAGGAGCUCCUGCUCCAUGGUGGGGGUUGGAAAGUUUCGGCGGUUGGGGAUGGACUCGCGGCUUAUCAGCUUGUUGGUGGGGUAGUGGCUUACCAAGGCUUUGACGGGUAGCCGGCCUGAGAGGGUGACCGGCGACAUUGGGACUGAGAUACGGCCCAGACUCCUACGGGAGGCAGCAGUGGGGAAUAUUGCACAAUGGGCGGAAGCCUGAUGCAGCAACGCCGCGUGCGGGAUGACGGCCUUCGGGUUGUAAACCGCUUUCGCCUGUGACGAAGCGUGAGUGACGGUAAUGGGUAAAGAAGCACCGGCUAACUACGUG